rnacentral:lncRNA from 1 species
UUGCAAAGACAUCCUGCAGAGGUAACUUGUGGAAGAAAGAGAACAGAAAUAAACAAUCCAGAGCUCUCUGGAUCUGCAGGCACAUCUUCACUGCUCCCUCCUGAAUUUCUCCUCCCUCCUGACUUUCUCCUCCCUUUACAGCCACUGCUGUGCAGAUGCUGCUGAGCAAAAGUUGUGAGAGAGCUCGACCAGAGAGCGAAGCAAAUCCGAGUGGGACGAAACCUGAGCAAAUGAGAAUCCUGCUCCCCUGGCAAAGAGAGAUCACCUUAUAUGGGAACAUCACGAGCAAGAGGAUGAACAGUCCAGCCGGGCUGCUGAGGUCAGAUCCCAAACAGAGGGAAGAUGUUAGUGUGAAAACAAGAGCAUUUAGGAAGAGAAAACAAUAGUUCUGCUUUGCUCAAGCAAUCUGACCCCUCCUGUUUGUUUGUUUCUGUUAUUAUAAAUAUUGUGCUGUAUGUACACAUAGGUCUGACUGUAUUCUAUUAAAAGUUAAUUUCUUUGUGGCUAUUCUAGUACCUAAAUGCAUCCCAAGCCUGUUUCUGGCUCCCACUUGGAGCUGUACUGUGGUGAGCUAAAGCCUAAGGAGCGAUCACAGACAUCUUCAAAAAUUAAGCCUGUUUGUGCAGAAUGUGGCCUGUUCCUGUGAGCUGAGGCAUUUAAGACAAUACUGACAGCCAAGAAGUCUGUCUGGUUCUGAAUGUUUUGUCAUGUGUACAGUUGUGAUUUAAAGUACUAAAGGAUUGGAAGAAAAACGUUAGAUCUGUGUUGAAGGGUUUGUAUAUUUUGUGCUUUAUGUGAGUCUUCUGUUCCAAGAGAGAGGGCUCUGGUCCUUUAAAUCUGGGUCUAAUGGAUUCUGAUCCAAAUGUGUGUCUUUCAGACUCUGAGCCUGGGAUUUACAGGUCCGACUUUGAGAGCUCUGCAUCUUUCAAGCCCCACCUUCUGUGUGUACAGUGCCAGUGGUGGCCUCACACCUCUCCCUGCCCCCUGGACCAGAUGCACACUGUUGGCUUGGAAAACAGCUGCAGCUUUGUGUGGCUCUGUGCAGCAGGAGAGGCACAGCCAAGACAGUUGUAUAGCCAUUGCUCACAGACUCUGUCAGGAGAGGAUGAAGUUAACAGCUCAGUAAGUACCAAUGUGAAGGAAGUGGCUCACAAAAGAAACAAGAUCUGGCAUACAGCAGAAUACACUGUACCAAUGCAGGCAAGUCUUCAGGUAAUGUCAGUUCAAUAUUCAGAAUUCAGAUUUUCUGCCCACUUUUACAUCCUCAUUUAAUUUGCUCACGUUGUUGAAUUAAACUUCUAGCUGAAACACUUGAUCUCUCAAUCUAUCACCAGACCCAGAUAUGAAACUUCAUAUAAAAUUGUGAAGGAAAUUACUUCACCCUCAGCCCAAACAAUGACAAGCACUGUUGACCCAAGCAAAGGGCUAAAUAAGGAUUGAUGAGGUGUGGCAGGACCAUGGUUUGGGUAGUUCCUUCUGCUGCUUCCUCCUAUAGAAAGCUGCAACAAUCUGAAAUGUCAAGCUCCCUAUCUUACAUUUGAGGAGGACAGCUUGAAACUGUCUCUAAGUAGCCAAAAAGCCUUGAGUAAGAGCUUGUUUCUUUACAAGAAUUCAAACAGGACGAUGUGUGAAUUAUAAUGCAACUGUUAAAAACCUGUGAGGUCGGGGGGGUCCUGUGGAAUCCACAGAAAACCUCCCUAAGUGAAAGACAUCUCUACAUUUUUUUUAUGUUGAAAGAAAGAUACAUGGACAAUGUAAUGAAGUUUUAAGAUAAUCCCUCUGCCUAGGCACUUAUAGAUCUCAUGUAUGUAAAUCAGCUAUUUCCUUCACAGCCAUACUGUUAACACUCAUUAUAAUACCUGAAUAAUUGACUUCUACCAACCUGCCCUGCUGUAUGAUUCUGCAGUGAAGUCAUAGCCUCCAGUUUGUAUCAUCAUGCAGCUGCCAUAGAAACAACUUUAGGUGUCACGGGCUCAUCCCGAAUUCACUGGAGACAUUUGGCUCAUUAAUUCAAAUGUCAAGGAAAAUGCAUCAACGUAAGAGAGCUUUAAUCAGGGACUGAAAUAAAAAAGUUUCCUAACGUCGGGUUUUCUUCUGCAAGGCUCUGUGGUGUGGAAGUUCUGUGGGUUCAUUUAUCACAGUGAGGUUCCUUCCACUUCCCCAUGGGUAGAUUGGUUGUGUGUGCUUUGUGCUGCAGGCUGGUGUUUGGGGAUUCUCCUCAGACCAAAGAACAAUCUCUUCAUCCUCCCUACAUAGAUGAUGAAAACCUCAAUGCUGGCAAUCUCAAAGAGUGAGAUAAGAAAACUCUAGGAAAAAGACUCCAUGGAACAAUGCUGCUGUGACCCAGAGUAGGAUGGAAAGGCUGCGUAGCCAUCUUUUGUUGUAAUCCCAUGACUGUACAAUAUCCAAGAUAAAAAUGUUCUAUUUCUAGUCUGUAGAGGCCAAAGGAUGAAAAAAAAAUUAUAAAACAUUUUAUUUCAACUGAAAUUAUGGAACUGAUACUCUAAGAAAGGAAAUUGUAAUGAAUUUUAGCUCCUCUCAACCAGCUUUGAAAUAUAUGCAUAAGAAACUAGGUCAAUUAGCACUUUCAUUAGCUCAUUUACAAGCCCAUAAGUAUAUAUUCAUAUAAGUUUCUACAUUUAUAUCUCAUCUUCUCCCUAAUUUGGGGGGUUCUGCAGAAAUGGAGCAGUUUUUCCACUGCCAGGUCCCCUCCAGAGCCCACAAUGCCUCCUACAGCUCCUUCUGCUGAGGUUUUUCAGCACUUAAGAGCAAAUUCCAUUCCCUUCUCAUGUGGACAGAGUUAUGAUGUGAAAAAGGCUUUGUCCAACAACAGGAAGGCUGUAAUUGUUCAUACAGCAUCCGGGAAAGAUAUGCAUGAGCUUCCUGAGUUAAUGAAAUCGUAAGGGUUUGUUAUAAAGUUUCAGCGACUGCCAAUCAUUUUGAAAUGUCACCCUGUGUAGGUUCCUGCUGGGAUGUUACAGAGGGAGUUUUGCUUUCAAUUACAUUGCACAGUUGACACAUUUGUCUUGUUCCCUAACCUUCCUCUAACAUGCCAGGAGUCGGUCACUACAGGCACCAAAAAUAAUGAAUGAGAGGUUUGGUCCAAACCUCUGAUGUAUAAAGUCCUUCACAAGUUCCAUUGGCAAGGGAAAAAAAAAUGGAGGAAUCACUAAAAAGCAAAGCUGAGUGU